rnacentral:rRNA from 1 species
AGAGUUUGAUCAUGGCUCAGAGCGAACGCUGGCGGCGUACUUAACACAUGCAAGUCGAACGGGGAUCUUCGGUGUAGCAAUACAUCGGCGGUCCUAGUGGCGCACGGGUGAGUAACACGUGGGUAACCUGUCCUUGAGUUCGGGAUACCCUUUCGAAAGGAAGGCUAAUACCGGAUACGUUCCUCGGGUUGCGAAAUCUGGGGAGGAAAGGUGGCGAAAGCUACCGCUCUUGGAGGGGCUCGCGGCCUAUCAGCUAGUUGGUGAGGUAACGGCUCACCAAGGCUAUGACGGGUAGCUGGUCUGAGAGGACGACCAGCCACACGGGAACUGAGACACGGUCCCGACUCCUACGGGAGGCAGCAGUGGGGAAUUUUCCGCAAUGGGCGAAAGCCUGACGGAGUGACGCCGCGUGGGGGACGAAGGCCUUCGGGUUGUAAACCCCUGUCAGAGGGAAAGAAGGGUCGCCUGGCUAAUAUCCAGGUGAUCUGACGGUACCUUCAGAGGAAGCCCCGGCCAACUCUGUGCCAGCAGCCGCGGUA